GUCCACGCCCUAAACGAUGAUUACUCGACAUUUGUGAUACACUAUAAGUGUCUGAGCGAAAGCAUUAAGUAAUCCACCUGGGAAGUACGACCGCAAGGUUGAAACUCAAAGGAAUUGGCGGGGUCCGCACAAGUGGUGGAGCAUGUGGUUUAAUUCGAUGAUACGCGAGGAACCUUACCUGGGCUAGAAUGCAUUUUUGACCGUGGGUGAAAGCUCACUUUGUAGCAAUACACAAUUUGUAAGGUGCUGCAUGGCUGUCGU
rnacentral:rRNA from 1 species